GACGAACGCUGGCGGCGUGCCUAACACAUGCAAGUCGAACGGAGUGGCGAAUGGGUGAGUAACACGUGGGUGCUCUGCCUUGCACUCCGGGAUAAGCUUGGGAAACUGGGUCUAAUACCGGAUAGUGCAAGAUGAGCUCGCGGCCUAUCAGCUUGUUGGUGGGGUAAUGGCCUACCAAGGCGUCGACGGGUAGCCGACCUGAGAGGGUGUACGGCCGCAUUGUGACUGAGGUACGGCCCAGGCUCCUACGGGGGGCAGCAGUGGGAAAUAUUGCACAAUGGGCGGAAGCCUGAUGCGGCGACGCCGCGUGGGGGAUGAAGGCCUUCGGGUUGUAAACUCCUUUCGACAGGGACGCGGUACCUGUAUAAGAAGCACCGGCUAACUACGUGCCAGCAGCCGCGGUAAUUC
rnacentral:rRNA from 1 species